AGCAGCCGCGGUAAUUCCAGCUCCAAUAGCGUAUAUUAAAGUUGUUGCAGUUAAAAGCUCGUAGUUGAAUUUCGGGAUCAAUUAAUCGGUCGUACCUAUGGUACGUACUGAUUUUAUUGGUUUCUCCCUUCUGACGAACUAUGAUGUCAUUAAUUUGGUGUCGUGGAGAAUCAGGACUGUUACUUUGAAAAAUUAGAGUGUUUAAAGCAGGCUAACGCUUGAAUACAUUAGCAUGGAAUAAUGAAAUAGGACGUUUGAUCCUAUUUUGUUGGUUUCUAGGAUCCACGUAAUGAUUAAUAGGGAUAGUUGGGGGCAUUAGUAUUCAAUUGUCAGAGGUGAAAUUCUUGG
rnacentral:rRNA from 1 species